UGGGAGCUUGCUCCCUGAUGUUAGCGGCGGACGGGUGAGUAACACGUGGGUAACCUGCCUGUAAGACUGGGAUAACUCCGGGAAACCGGGGCUAAUACCGGAUGCUUGUUUGAACCGCAUGGUUCAAACAUAAAAGGUGGCUUCCGCUACCACUUACAGAUGGACCCGCGGCGCAUUAGCUAGUUGGUGAGGUAAUGGCUCACCAAGGCAACGAUGCGUAGCCGACCUGAGAGGGUGAUCGGCCACACUGGGACUGAGACACGGCCCACACUCCUACGGGAGGCAGCAGUAGGGAAUCUUCCGCAAUGGACGAAAGUCUGACGGAGCAACGCCGCGUGAGUGAUGAAGGUUUUCGGAUCGUAAAGCUCUGUUGUUAGGGAAGAACAAGUACCGUUCGAAUAGGGCGGUACCUUGACGGUACCUAACCAGAAAGCCACGGCUAACUACGUGCCAGCAGCCGCGGUAAUACGUAUGUGGCAAGCGUUGUCCGGAAUUAUUGGGCGUACAGGGCUCGCACGCGGUUUCUUAAGACUGAUGUGAAACCCCCGGCUCACCGGGGAGGGCAUUGGAAACUGGGAACUUGAUGCAGAAGAAAUAGUGGAAUUCACUUGUACCGUGAAAUCCGAUAGA
rnacentral:rRNA from 1 species